rnacentral:sRNA from 1 species
AAUCUGCUGCGGGCAGAUCAUAUGGAUGUGCGCGUCGAAUCCGCCGGCUGUGAGGAUUUUCCCCUCACCAGCGAUCGCUUCCGUAGACGGGCCGACAAUGAUAUCGACACCGGGCUGCGUAUCCGGGUUCCCCGCCUUGCCGAUGGCGGAAAUUUGACCGUCCUUGAGGCCGAUAUCGGCCUUGUAGAUACCCGUAUAGUCAAUGAUGAGCGCAUUGGUGAUGACCGUAUCAACGGCCCCUUGGGCGCGUGUCGUCUGCGCCUGGCCCAUGCCAUCCCG